rnacentral:misc_RNA from 1 species
UUUUAAUCCACAGUGGUUCACCACUAGUAGCCAUCUUUUGAAGUUGUUCCAUUGCUUGAUUAACGAUGUGCAUAAUUCUUGGUUUUUCAAGCCCAAAAAUGCCUGUGUAAAAAUCUAAAGCGCUUUUAUUUUCUUCAUCAUUUCCUCCUGAACAUGAAGAUGAACUAUUUGGUGAUGUCCCUAUUUGGUAUUUUCCCAAUGCUGCCCUAAGCUUUUCAACCUCAGCCCUAAGUCUGGCGUUUUCGAUUCGCAAUUGUUGUUCUUCAGCAGGAAGAGUAGGAGCAUUAUUGGUAGAGCUAGCAAAUCCACAAUUAGGACAAGAAGGAUUCUUUGAAUUUCCCCUUAAUCCCUUAUUUUCUUCACG